UAGUUUUUUUCUUUUCUUUU
rnacentral:miRNA from 1 species